rnacentral:rRNA from 1 species
GGACUACAAGGGUAUCUAAUCCUGUUUGCUCCCCACGCUUUCGCGCCUCAGCGUCAGUAUGAUGCCAGGUGACUGCCUUCGCCAUCGACGUUCCUUCCGAUCUCUACGCAUUUCACCGCUACACCGGAAAUUCCAUCACCCUCUCAUCUACUCUAGUCUAGUCGUUUGCGAUGCACUUCCCAGGUUAAGCCCGGGGCUUUCACACCACACUCACUAAACCGCCUACGCGCCCUUUACGCCCAGUAACUCCGAUUAACGCUCGCACCCUCUGUAUUACCGCGGCUGCUGGCAC